AAUAAGAUUAUUUUUUAGUUUUUAAAUAUAAUAUUUUAACUCUUCGUCUUAUUUAAAUUUUUUUGUGAUUAAUAUUUUUAUUGUUACAUGAUGGUAAACAUGAAUAAUACUUUAAGCAUGACUAACAUUUUUAAGUUUUUUUAUAAUUUUUUUAAAUAAGACGAAUGGUCAAACUUUAGACACGGUAAUUAAAAAAUAAAGUUAUU
rnacentral:pre_miRNA from 1 species